rnacentral:rRNA from 1 species
GAUGAACGCUGGCGGCGUGCCUAAUACAUGCAAGUCGAGCGAACGGACGAGAAGCUUGCUCCUCUGGUGUUAGCGGCGGACGGGUGAGUAACACGUGGAUAACCUACCUAUAAGACUGGGAUAACUUCGGGAAACCGGAGCUAAUACCGGAUAAUAUUUUGAACCGCAUGGUUCAAAAGUGAAAGACGGUCUUGCUGUCACUUAUAGAUGGAUCCGCGCUGCAUUAGCUAGUUGGUAAGGUAACGGCUUACCAAGGCAACGAUGCAUAGCCGACCUGAGAGGGUGAUCGGCCACACUGGAACUGAGACACGGUCCAGACUCCUACGGGAGGCAGCAGUAGGGAAUCUUCCGCAAUGGGCGAAAGCCUGACGGAGCAACGCCGCGUGAGUGAUGAAGGUCUUCGGAUCGUAAAACUCUGUUAUUAGGGAAGAACAUAUGUGUAAGUAACUGUGCACAUCUUGACGGUACCUAAUCAGAAAGCCACGGCUAACUACGUG